rnacentral:rRNA from 1 species
UGUCUUUUUGAGAAUAAUUUAAAGUCUAAUCUGCCCACUGAGGUUUUGAAUGGCCGCGGUAUUUUGACCGUGCAAAGGUAGCAUAAUCAUUAGUUUUUUAAUUGAAAGCUGGUAUGAAUGAUUGGAUGAGAAAAUAACUGUCUCAAUUUAAUUUAUAUAGAAUUUUAUUUUUAAGUUAAAAAGCUUAAAUAUAAUUUAAAGACGAGAAGACCCUAUAGAGUUUAAUAAAUAAAAUUAUUUAAUUUAUUAGUUUUUAGUAUUUAAAUUUAUCUUAUUUAUUUUAUUGGGGUGAUAGAAAAAUUUAAUAAACUUUUUUUAUAAUUUUACAUUUAUAAAUGAUUUUUUGAUCCAUAGUUUAUGAUUAAAAGAUAAAAUUACCUUAGGGAUAACAGCGUAAUUUUUUUUAAGAGUUCAAAUCGAAAAAAAAGAUUGCGACCUCGAUGUUGGAUUAAAGUUAAUUUUUGGUGCAGUAGCUAAAAGAUUAAGUCUGUUCGACUUUUGAAACUUU